UACAGAGGUCUCAAGCGUUGUUCGGAUUCAUUGGGCGUAAAGGGUGCGUAGGUGGCGCUGUAAGUCGGGUGUGAAAUUUCGGAGCUCAACUCCGAAACUGCAUUCGAUACUGCGGUGCUUGAGGACUGGAGAGGAGACUGGAAUUCAUGGUGUAGCAGUGAAAUGCGUAGAGAUCAUGAGGAGACCAGUGGCGAAGGCGGGUCUCUGGACAGUUCCUGACACUGAGGCACGAAGGCCCAGGGGAGCAAACGGG
rnacentral:rRNA from 1 species